UCUCAGAUCCCCUAAGAACCGUAGGGUUCUUGGUCAAUGAAAAACAGGGGAACCUCCGUUGUUGCUGGACUUCUUCCGGGAACUUCGCAAUUACAACUGAAAACUAUGGUGACAAGUUUGGAUGCGACAACAAGUUAAAAAGGUUAAGUUGGGUCGGUGUUUGGCUUUGAAUAUGUCUAGAAAUAAUGUAUAUCAUAAUAUAACAUACUGAUAAUGAAUAACGAAGGCAAUGAUGGUUUUCUGUGAAUAUCUUCCAUAAGGUUACUUUAGUUAAUUACCGUAAAUAUUAGAAAGUCGGGUUUGACCGUCGGCGUUGUAUGAGCUACAGUACAGUACCGUUAUCUAGCUAGAUAACGUUAUGUCCUAACUAGGCACAACUAGGUUUGGAUUAUUUCCCUCAACUAUAUUCUUUCCCAUAUAUUGUAUAUCGUUUCCAUGAAGCCAACAUGGCUUUACACUUAUUAACGUAAGUUUCCAAUCUAGAGCAGUUCUCACUUUUGUGAUAAUGAACUAGCUAACGUUAACUAACUAACUAUCUAAUUAACUAACUAACUAACUAACUAACUAAGGACGGUGACCUGUCCAGACGAGAUGUUACAACGAACUGAAUCGUCAAUGGAGGUCUUCCUCUUUAUAUAGCCUGCUACAGCAUGCAAUACUAUUAACUCACAAGGGGGCAUAACGUUACAUGGACAAUACUAUCCCAUUUUGGAAACGUUACAUGGACAAUACUGUCCCAUUUUGGAAACGUUACAUAUACAAUACUAUUCCAUUUUGGAAACGUUACAUGUACAAUACUAUCCUAUUUUGGAAACGUUACAUUUACAAUACUGUCCCAUUUUGGAAACGUUACAUUUACAACCUAUCCCAUUUUGGAAACGUUACAUUUACAAUACUGUCCCAUUUUGGAAACGUUACAUGUCCGCCCCCUUGUGGAGGGAAAUUAAUAUCUUAAAUGGUAGCUGUAGAUGGGAUUCAAAAGCAUAAUGGUAUUAAUACAGUGUCUAGACUACCUCUUUUGUAUAAAUGCCCUUCAGAAUCCAAACACAAGUAUUGCCACACAGCAAAAUGUUGCGUAUAAUCUUUCAAGUCACCCUGAUAAAAUAUUGAACAAUUUCUUUACAAAGAUAUCUUGAAAUGUGAUAUUUGGCCUGUAUUUGUUUUAUUUAUUUUUUAGUUCACCUUUAUUUAACCAGGUAGGCUAGUUGAGAACAAGUUCUCAUUUACAACUGCGACCUGGCCAAGAUACACAUAGCAGUGUGAACAGACAACACAGAGUUACACAUGGAGUAAACAAUAAACAAGUCAAUAACACAGUAGAACAAAAAUAAGAAAAAAAUAGUCUAUAUACAUUGUGUGCAAAAGGCAUGAGGAGGUAGGCGAAUAAUUACAAUUUAGCAGAUUAACACUGGAGUGAUAAAUGAUCAGUACUGUUACUGUUAUGGCAGUACUGUAUUGGCUAGUGCUUUCUCCAAUAUGUUCUUCUAUUUUACAUUACAUUGUAUGUCGAUGCCAUUUAUCUUUAAAUAUGUAUUUCAUGUAUAUAUAUAUUUUAAUGCUUGCAAGACUAUUCUUUGACACAUUUUCUCUUCCUUUGAAAUUCUUAUAGGACAGAACAUGGACACAAUGCAAUUGGGAUCAAGAAGAAGAUCUUCUCAGAAAUGAAUCAAGUCCAUAGAAUGGAUAUAGACACAGAUAAUUCAAGGACUAUCAGAGGUAGAGAGGCGAGGCAGGGGUGAGGACAUCAUCCUGCUAUUUUAACAGUCCCUGAAGGACAAUACAGAAGAGAUUUCAACGCUCUUCAAUGCACACCGGCAGAAAUCUAUUUCACCAUGAGAUCGAAAUCUUGCUGGCCUUUGAUGGGGAGAACAUCCACGCCCUCGAGGACGUCCCCAUGGGACUUGGGCUCUGAUUGGGCUGAAUCUCCACUGGGAUUUUCUGCCUCUAACCCAAUUACAGGGGCUGAGUCACUGUCUUACUGGUGCUCUCUCAUGCCGUCCCUAGGUGGGGUGCGUCACUUGAGUGGGUUGAGUCACUGACGUGAUCUUCCUGUCUGGGUUGGCUCCCCCCUUGGGUUGUGCCGUGGCGGAGAUCUUUGUGGGCUAUACUCGGCCUUGUCUCAGGAUGGUAAGUUGGUGGUUGAAGAAAUCCCUCUAGUGGUGUAGGCUGUGCUCUGGCAAAGUGGGUGGGGUUAUAUCCUUCCUGUUUGGCCCUGGCCGGGGAUAUCAUCAGAUGGGCACGCCCAAUUUUUCAGUUUUUGAUUUGUUAAAAAAGUUUGAAAUAUCCAAUAA